CUACAUUGGCUAGAGGUAUAGGGGGAGGGUUGAGAUCUCACAAAACAUGUUUAACCCCGCCGCAUGUUUGCGCCUGUCCCAAGUCAGGAGCCUCUGGCCUUUGUUAGUCUUGUAUGUUUUUUAAUUUUAGUUCAUUUAUAUGUUUUGGAGUUUAGUAUGACGUCCAUUUUCACUGAACUAGUACACAUUUUUAUUUAGGGGCCAGCUGAGGACCACCUUCGGGUGCGGGAUUUUCUCGCUGCGUUGAAGACCCAGCUGUUAUCUGCUCUUUGGCCGGGUUGUUGUCUCUUUGACAUAUUCCCCAUUUCCAUUCUCAAUUUUAUUAAA